rnacentral:rRNA from 1 species
GAUGAACGCUGGCGGCGUGCCUAAUACAUGCAAGUCGAGCGAACAGAUGAGGAGCUUGCUCCUCUGACGUUAGCGGCGGACGGGUGAGUAACACGUGGAUAACCUACCUAUAAGACUGGGAUAACUUCGGGAAACCGGAGCUAAUACCGGAUAAUAUAUUGAACCGCAUGGUUCAAUAGUUAAAGACGGUUUUGCUGUCACUUAUAGAUGGAUCCGCGCCGCAUUAGCUAGUUGGUAAGGUAACGGCUUACCAAGGCAACGAUGCGUAGCCGACCUGAGAGGGUGAUCGGCCACACUGGAACUGAGACACGGUCCAGACUCCUACGGGAGGCAGCAGUAGGGAAUAUUCCGCAAUGGGCGCAAGCCUGACGGAGCCACGCCGCGUGAGUGAUGAAGGUCUUCGGAUCGUAAAACUCUGUUAUUAGGGAAGAAAAAAUGUGUAAGUAAAUAUGCACGUCUUGACGGUACCUAAUGAGAAAGCAACGGCUAACUACGUG